UAGCAAUAUGAUGAUUACUUAUGUAAUUCUUGAUAGGAAGAGUAUGAAACAUAAUGAGUACUAUAUAAUUAUCUGAUACAA